AGCGUUAUUCUAGAUUAGAAUGGGCACUGUUGAUUGGUGGCCAGAAUUAGUCAGUGUGGCUAAAAUUGACACAUAGGUCACACUUCCAUCACAGUAAACAUGUAUAGUGGUAACAACAAGACCUGUAACAUUU
ensembl:snoRNA